AAACCUAAAGAAAGAAAAGGAGUGAGAAGACAUUUUUAACACGGCAUGACCGCAGAUUAAUAAUGCAGGUAACCCUGAUGUUGGUUUCUCUGGAGUGCCCUCUUCCUGCUGAAUUGUCAGACUGUUGGUGGAGGAAGACAGAAGAGGAAGGACUGAAUGUGCCACUGCUUGUGCCAUGAUCUGCAGAUAGUGUGAGGACUUUGCUCCUUAUGACUGUCCAUCUGGCGCCAUUCCUGAGCAAUAAAAGCUCACCCACAAAGUAUUUUAAAGCAAACAGUUGGUGUAAUGAAUACCUUAAUAGUACUAAUACAAUACUACAAAUAGUAACUACUAUAAAAAUACCCACUCAGUGAAAAGAGCCCCGGUUCACUGCCCAGCUCCUUCAGAGAGCAGGAGACAGGACCCACAGAGGCUGUGAGUAUAUUUCGCAGCAGGGUGACUUCCUCUGCCACUCGCUCUCAAGUAAUUCCCCAUGGCUAAUCCAAGCACACCUGCACACCUUCCAGCAGAAGAGGUGUUCCAGCAACACUUGGACCUAAUGAGAAAGUGAGCUGGCCACCAGAAAUGGGUGUGUGUGCAUAGGAUCAGGCACCACAUGUUCUAAAAAUACAAAGAAAAGAAAAAAAAGGAUUCUAUAAUUUAUCAUUUUGUUGUUGUUUGUUUUGUUUUUGUGUAUGUGAUCUCUGCACAGAUUCUCUCUUCUUCCUUCUUCAAACUUAGAAAAGCAGGACCACUGAAACAGCCUCAAGAGCCAAAGACUAUCUCUGAUUCAUCAGCACACAUCUGUGCACAAGAAUAAGAGAUGAUUUCGUAAGAUACCUGGAACAAAAACUCUUUAUCAUUUAAGAUCAGAAUUUGUUUACCAGGGACAUUAUUUAACCUAAGGAAGACAGGCAGAAAUCUGAAAAUCUGUCUUUAAUUUACUCUGUUAUGAUCUGUAUUAUUGUUCUUGCAGUUCUGCAAGAGUUCUUGCAGUUCUCUUUACAGUAGGCAGGCUUGAGCAACACAGGAUGAGCUACUUUGUGGAGAGUUGAAUCCUAAAGUCUGAAUUCCUGAUUUAAAUUUAGUUGGUUCCCAACCAGAUUCACCCAUUUUUUUCCCUUUUGAAACUAUUUACUUGACAAAUGUAAAAUAAAUACUGAAACAAGCUGUACAUAAGUAUUGUACCCAAAGAGUACUUACAGUACCUGAGAAAGAGCACUGUGUAGAGGGUUUUUUUGGCUGGUUUGGUUGUUAGCAUAGUACAUCAAUUAUCUUAUGCUAUUUUAUAUAAUUUUAUUUUAUGCCUUAGCAUACAAUAAAAGCAGUAUCUGUUCAUAUCCUCAUAUCCCUACAUGUAAAAAUAAGGUGUCUUACACUUUUAAAAAUUAAGUGUACCUUCCACUAAUCUUAUAUAUCUUCUUUUUUUCUUUCAUGACAACAAGUACUGUUUGCUGUGUGUGACUAUUUCAGUGAGCUAAAUAUCUGUUGAAAACUCAAAUCAUUCACUGGCCUCAUUUUCUCUAGUUGCUGCAUUCAGAUUAAUAAACCUGUUUCCUACUUAAAAUGAAAAGAGAAUUCAGAAACGUUUAGCAUCAAGUGAAAAAAGCAGCAAGAAAAUUACUAACUGACACCAGGACAUGGCAUAUUUAUUUUGUCCUGUCAAUUAUUUUUAAAGAAUCCCUUGCUUAUGGAGGAAGAUUUUUUAAAAACCUGGACUAUUAAAUAAAGAUGUCCACAAACACCAGUUUCUUCAUUUUUCCUCAUUUUGGAGAAAGUGAGUAGUGGAAUGGUUUGGGGUUUUUCACUUUAUAUUAUUAUACUUUUGCUGGUGCUGAAAAGAACUCACGUUUCAAGGGUCACAGAAUAAACCUGCAUAAAGCAUUUAUGACACUGCGGUAAUGCAUUUAUGAAGGCAAAUACUCACGGGCACUUAGGACAUUAGGUAAACACCAAUAUCAGAUGUUCUCCUCAACACUUCAAAGCUGCAGCCGAGUGCAAAGUUCCAGAGGUACCAGCUACUCCAGGGUCAGCGGUGGCUCCGAGGAAGCACAUUCAGAGGCCUGGACCUGGAGGUAAUUUCAAUGUGUUCUCAUCCAGUCAUGAGCACACAAUCACCUAUUGAAAGUGUCUGGCUUGGAGUGCAGACAGAUGGAGAGCAGAGGGGUUAGUACAGCCAGGCCUUGGACUGACCUUUGCAGAGAGAAUUAAAUCAGUCUGACCUUGUUGUGAAGCCUAAAUUAUAUCCAUAGACCCCCAAAUAAUGCAUCUUUAAUGCAUCACUGCCCUCUUUUUAUCUGCCUCUUUACCUCGAGGGUAUCUUGUUUGCUAACUACUGAUGUUAAAUUGCAGCUAUUUAUGCUUACAUUUGUGACCUCGGUGGACAUCUUGUCACAUUUUUCAUGAGCACUUGGAAAAGUAGAGAAAUAUUUAUAUAGAGAGAGUUAUAUAAAACUGAGGUCUCGUUUCACUUCUACAUAAAAUAAACAUUAAUAGGAAAAGAAACCUGGUUCAACUGUGGGGCUCUGUAUUCAUUGUAUAAGUCUAACACAAUAGUCAUUGUAUGAUUCUGAGCUUCAAUAUCAUCCAUAACCUAUCAUCUGGACAGCCUGGAAAAAUGAACGGUGCCACAUAAUAGGAUUUCCAGUAUCUUACGAACAACUUUUCUUCUCAGAUAUUUUUAAUAUUUAGGAUUUUUUUUAAAAUUCAAAAUAGUGCUAAGAACAGAAUAACCCCUGUGACACCUGUCAGUUUUGGUAAUGCAGACCUCUGGACAGAAACAAUACCGAGUCCACAGGCUGGAAUCUCGACUGGAAACCAGCUCAGUUCAGACCAGGAAGGGUUUAAUUGGUACUUCUGUUGACUGUAACAGCAGAGGAGCCCAGUGGAAGUUCAGGAGAAUUGCAUCCUUUCCCACUGCCUAAAAGGCUCCGUUUUGUGGUUUUCUGUUGUACCUUAACCCAAACAAAAGGUGCUUUGAAAAAAAAAAAUCUUAGUCCAAGAUGUUGUUUUCCAAGUACCAUUAUUCUAAAGUGCAUCAAGUUCCCUUUCAGCUUUUAUUAAUCACAAUAAAACUCUGACUUAAACU
ensembl:lncRNA